rnacentral:rRNA from 1 species
UACGAAGGGGGCUAGCGUUGUUCGGAAUUACUGGGCGUAAAGCGCGCGUAGGCGGUGAUCUUUGUCAGAGGUGAAAGCCCGGGGCUCAACUCCGGAAUUGCCUUUAAAACUGCAUCGCUAGAAUUGUGGAGAGGUAAGUGGAAUUCCGAGUGUAGAGGUGAAAUUCGUAGAUAUUCGGAAGAACACCAGUGGCGAAGGCGACUUACUGGACACAUAUUGACGCUGAGGUGCGAAAGCGUGGGGAGCAAACAGG